UACCUCAUCAAUCGGAAGGGUUUCCUUCCGGUCGAUGAGGUACAUGUACCUCAUUGACCGGAAGGAAACCCUUCCGAUCAGGGAGGUA
rnacentral:miRNA from 1 species